CUUUGGUGAGUGUUAACAGCAGCUGUGGUUCCCACAAUCCUCAAUUUCUCCCAUUAAAUGCUUUCGGAAGAUAGGAAUGCGGUGUCUGAAUCGAAUGAUUGAAUUUGUUGUAACUUAUUUCCUUGUUAACUUAACUUUUGUCUGUAUGUUUGUAUGAAUGUAUUUUUCCAGGGCAUAUUCAUUUCUCUGGCAGUCCGGCAACAGUGACGUUCUGUUAAGACAGGCCAAGUUGGAGGGCACUUCUGCCCCAGAUAUCAUAGCUGCUCUGGAAGAACACUUCCGUUACAUCGGCGCAGAGUGCGCGCCAGCAACUGUGUGAAGUGAAGCGUUGAGCUGCUACUCACAGCGUUGUUUAAACUACGAAGGCAAGACCAUGUCUGUUUUUUGGACGUGGGGCAUGUACUCUUUCUCUGGGCAAGUCUGGAGGAUACCGCGGAAGAGUCGGAUCACCCUCAAAAUGGGAUUCCAUUUGCCGUGAAUAAUAUGCGAGGGGCAUCACGCCGUACAGAGGCUGGUAUUCCCUUAUUAGAAUGGAUUCAUCCGGCUUCAAGUGGAGUUUAAGUAAUGAUGUAUAUAUUGUUACAUUUCCAUUAAACAUUUGAUGCCUGAAA